rnacentral:rRNA from 1 species
AUCAACUUUCGAUGGUAGGAUAGAGGCCUACCAUGGCCUUUCAACGGGUAACGGGGAAUUAGGGUUCGAUUCCGGAGAGGGAACCUGAGAAACGGCUACCACUUCUAAGGAAGGCAGCAGGCGCGCAAAUUACCCAAUCCCGACACGGGGAGGUAGUGACAAUAAAUAACAAUACAGGGCCUUUACAGGUUUUGUAAUUGGAAUGAGUACAAUUUAAAUCUCUUAACGAGGAACAAUUGGAGGGCAAGUCUGGUGCCAGCAGCCGCGGUAAUUCCAACUCCAAUAGCGUAUAUUAAAGUUGUUGCAGUUAAAAAGCUCGUAGUUGAAUUUUGGAUUCUGCCAGUUGGUCCAUCUUUUGAUGAGUACUGAUUGUGCGGGGUCUAUCCGCCUGGGGAGACGUAAUGUACUUUAUUGUAUGUUACGGGUAGCCAGGACCUUUACCUUGAAAAAAUUAGAGUGUUUAAAGCAGGCUUAUGCCGGAAUACAUUAGCAUGGAAUAAUAGAAUAGGACGAUGUUGUUUUAUUUUGUUGGUUUCUAGGACAACCGUAAUGAUUAAUAGGGAUAGUUGGGGGCAUUAGUAUUCAAUUGUCAGAGGUGAAAUUCUUGGAUUUAUUGAAGACUAACUACUGCGAAAGCAUUUGCCAAGGAUGUUUUCAUUAAUCAAGAACGAAAGUUAGGGGAUCGAAGACGAUCAGAUACCGUCGUAGUCUUAACCAUAAACUAUGCCGACUAGGGAUCGGGCGAUGUUGUUUCCAUGACUCGCUCGGCACCUUAUGGGAAACCAAAGUGUUUGGGUUC